GAAUAUUGGUCAAUGGGCGAAAGCCUGAACCAGCCAUCCAGCGUGCAGGAAGAAGGCCCUACGGGUUGUAAACUGCUUUUGUCAGGGAAUAAACCCUUGGAUUCACUCCGAGGCUGAAGGUACCUGACGAAUAAGCACCGGCUAACUCCGUGCCAGCAGCCGCGGUAAUACGGAGGGUGCGAGCGUUAUCCGGAAUUACUGGGUUUAAAGGGUGCGUAGGCGGCUUGGUAAGUCAGGAGUGAAAGUUUGCGGCUCAACCGUAAAAUUGCUUUUGAUACUGCCGGGCUAGAAUUAGGAUGAGGUCAGCGGAAUGUGGCAUGUAGCGGUGAAAUGCAUAGAUAUGCCAUAGAACACCUAUUGCGAAGGCAGCUGGCUAGACCUAUAUUGACGCUGAGGCACGAAAGCGUGGGGAGCGAACAGG
rnacentral:rRNA from 1 species